AUGGUAAUGUUCACAAUCACUCAUCUUUUAUCGCUUCAGGUCAUCAUGUGGCAGCGUUGGACCACCUUCAUCUUAGCAUGGGUUUCCAUGGCAACUCCAACCUUCUGCCAAAGUGGAGACGUUGACUGGGGUUCAGGCUUUGACAUCUUCUCCACCACAAUGAGCACCAACAGCACACUGAACGUUGUUGGUGAUGACCCCAAAAGCAUGAAGGACCGCCAUUCCUCACUGGGAUUUUCACCAUCAUUUUCACCUUUGCUCCAGUUGGACGCUGGAGCAGAUGAGUGCUCUGUUCACUUCAGCACCAAGGCUGCUGCUUUGUCUCGGAGGCUGAAAGCUCAGAAAGAGGAAGUGGCCUAUCUGAAGGCCAGGCAGCAGGGAAACCAGGCGGUGGUGGAGAAUUUAGAGCAGUUUUUGGGGUCAGACCUGGGAGAUCGGCGUUACGAGGACAAGAUCAAAGAAAAUAUUGUUGGGAUCCAGGAAGACCACAAAAGCUGUAUUGAGGUGGUGGAGAAAGCUGAAGAUGAUUUAAAAAAGCAGCUGGAAGGAGAUGGAUUAGAUGUUUUUACUGGGAUGCAGAAAAUAAAAGAGGAGUCUUUAGUCUUUGAAGACAUGCUUCGUGCUGCAGCGGACAUCGCCGGCAGGUUGGAGAGGUCAUCACGAGCCCUGAAAUCUUCGUUUACCAGGCACCUGGAAGACAUUGUUAAAAUCCACCAAUAAAAAAGUCAGCUUCAUUUAAAUGUGUUCCGUGACCCUGUUCUAGGUCCAUAACGAGUGAUCAACCUUCAAAUGCUCACGGGUGAGCCAGCAAUGAAAAAUGCACUUUUUUUCCUUUUAGGGACGUCAAAAGCCUGCCGUUUGUUCAAUCUAGAGACAUUUUGGGGGAUUUUCCAGAGGUCAAAAAGGGGCAGCAGCAUGUGAACCAAAUCUUUUUUUUAAUAACUCAACACAAACACCUUUUAGAGAUCAACUAUCAGCCUACUAGUGGAAACAUUUGAAACUGGUUGUAGGGAUUUAAGGGAGUGGCUGGUGGUUAGCAAUAAGGUAUACAACCUGUACAUAAAGCUUUUGUAAAAAAAAUUUUUAUAUUAAUUAAGAAUUAUUGUCUGUAAAACUGUUAAGUCAUUUUAUAUUAAAUUUUUGAUCCCAUAAAGCAUAUUUUCUUAUUAAAUAUGAUUAUUUUACUGUUCCUGUUUGAAUCAAUAAAGAUUUUUGGUAACGAUUCCUUUUACAAUCCCCUAAUUACUAAGUACUUACAGUGUAAUUACAUGGUAAGUUAACGUGUAUUUUUGUGUAAUUAAAUUUAUAAUUGUAAUAAAGUGUAAUUACUGUGUAAAGCAGCAUUUACUGGGAAUGAAUAAUAAAAAUAAAAACUAGAAUUGAACCUGAGUUGCAUGUUAAUAACUAAGAACUCAGAAACGAUAAUACACUUUAACUUACUAUGCAAUUACCAUGUAAAUACUUAGUAAUUAGGAGACUGUAAAAGAAAGCAUUACCAGAUUUUUUUGUAUUAGGUUGUGCUUUGAUGAAUUUGGGGUCAUGUUAUUAUUAUUUUGUUGUUGUUGAGUUUUUCAUGUUUCUGUAUGACUCAGAAGUAAAACGUCCCUAAGCAUUCAUUCAAUUAGUCUGCCCUCUAGCUGAUUUACAAUGAACCGUCUCCCUAAAACCAUGACUUCCUCCUCACUCAUUAUUCUAGAGAAAAGGUCAGAUUUCAUAUCAGUUUAAGAGAAAAAUGGUAUUUGAUGCAUCCAAACGCCAGAUGUGUUAGAGUAAAGGUGGAACCCUUGUGUGUGUGUGUGUGUGUGUGUGAGGGGGGGGGGGGGGGGACCUUUAACAGGAUCCAGAUAAAGGUGCUCAGAGAUGUCCUAUCCGUACUCGGACCCACGCACCUUCCUGUCCAGAUCACCUGCUCCUGUCAGGAAAAUCAAUCAUUUCUUACUUCAAUUUAAAGAAAACGAGGAUUAGAACAAUAUGGGCACUUGGAUCCAUGCGUAAAAAGGCGCACUGGUUUGGCUCCUGGAUUAUAUUACAUGCUUCGUUUUGGGACUGAGCUGUUCCAUUAGACCACGUGUCUGAGUGAACCUGGAUUCAGCAAUGACUGAUGGCUGCCAUCGCCUGCAUCUUCCCCAUUUUCAUGACGGACAGUGACAAAAGGGAUCCUCACCAAUGCUGAGCUUUGGAGGAGGAGGCGGGGGAGGAGGAGACAAGCUUGCAUGCCUUAACUCUGAUUUAACACCAGUUUUUGUGACAGUCGCAGUGAAUUUGCCCUGAGAUGCCUCCCAGCUGUGAAGAUGAUGACAGAAGGAACCAUCUCUGCGCUCCUCACUGGUGAAGU
rnacentral:lncRNA from 1 species